AAUGCUAGUCAGGCGCAUUGAUACAGCCAUAGAUUUUAUAUAAAUUUUUCAAUUGUUCGACAUUUUUUUUUAGAAUUUCGUUUUAAUCAACCUAUCUUUGAAGUAUUUAAAUGUUUGUCAAAUGAAAAAAAAGUUGAUCUUUCGAAGCAAAGGGAUGUGGCGCCGCAUUAUAGAAACAACGUUUCUGACAAUACCCUUGAAUAUGUGCCGAUGGGCAAUGUACGUAUCCCUUAUGGUCAGUGCCAAUACUGUCGUGCAUUUUUGCCGCUUGAAUAAGUCCAGGGCCGUAAAUCAAGUUGUCAAAAGAAUCGAUGACUGAGAUUGUAAAAUCGACGAUAGAUUCAACAUUCAAAAUUCGAUCAAUGUCAAUUUAAGUGAAAAUUAUUAUUAAGGCUAAAUAAUCUACAAAAUUAAAGUGUUACAAACGUUUGUGGGAUUUCUUUAUUAA